CCUACGGGUGGCACCAGUAGGGAAUCUUCGGCAAUGGACGAAAGUCUGACCGAGCAACGCCGCGUGAGUGAAGAAGGUUUUCGGAUCGUAAAACUCUGUUGUUAGAGAAGAACAAGGACGUUAGUAACUGAACGUCCCCUGACGAUAUCUAACCAGAAAGCCACGGCUAACUACGUGCCAGCAGCCGCGGUAAUACGUAGGUGGCAAGCGUUGUCCGGAUUUAUUGGGCGUAAAGCGAGCGCAGGCGGUUUCUUAAGUCUGAUGUGAAAGCCCCCGGCUCAACCGGGGAGGGUCAUUGGAAACUGGGAGACUUGAGUGCAGAAGAGGAGAGUGGAAUUCCAUGUGUAGCGGUGAAAUGCGUAGAUAUAUGGAGGAACACCAGUGGCGAAGGCGGCUCUCUGGUCUGUAACUGACGCUGAGGCUCGAAAGCGUGGGGAGCAAACAGGAUUAGAUACCCGAGUAGUC
rnacentral:rRNA from 1 species